rnacentral:hammerhead_ribozyme from 1 species
AUCCAUCUGAUGAGUCCAAAAUGGGACGAAACGCGCUUCAAACUGGAU